CAGCAGCCGCGGUAAUACGAAGGUUGCUAGCGUUGUUCGGAAUCACUGGGCUUAAAGAGCACGUAGGCGGCCCGUCAAGUGCCUUGUGAAAUCCCACGGCUCAACCGUGGAGCUGCUUGGUAUACUGUCGGGCUUGAGGCAGGUAGAGGCGCGUGGAACUCUUGGUGGAGCGGUGGAAUGCGUAGAUAUCAAGAGGAACACCGGAGGCGAAAGCGAUGCGCUGGGCCUGUCCUGACGCUGAGGUGCGAAAGCCAGGGGAGCAAACGGGAUUAGAUACCCCGGUAGUCCUGGCCCUAAACGAUGUCAACUAGGUCGGAGUCACUCUGACGUGUUUCUGGCCGAAACAAAAGCGUUAAGUUGACCGCCUGGGGAGUACGGUCGCAAGGCUAAAACUCAAAGGAAUUGACGG
rnacentral:rRNA from 1 species